rnacentral:rRNA from 1 species
GACGGAGGAUGCAAGUGUUAUCCGGAAUCACUGGGCGUAAAGCGUCUGUAGGUGGUCAAAUAAGUCAACUGUUAAAUCUUGAGGCUUAACCUCAAAUCGCAGUCGAAACUAUUAGACUAGAGUAUAGUAGGGUAAAGGGAAUUUCCAGUGGAGCGGUGAAAUGCGUAGAGAUUGGAAAGAACACCGAUGGCGAAGGCACUUUACUGGGCUAUUACUAACACUCAGAGACGAAAGCUAGGGUAGC